rnacentral:rRNA from 1 species
UACGAAGGGGGCUAGCGUUACUCGGAAUCACUGGGCGUAAAGGGUGCGUAGGCGGGUCUUUAAGUCAGGGGUGAAAUCCUGGAGCUCAACUCCAGAACUGCCUUUGAUACUGAGGAUCUUGAGUUCGGGAGAGGUGAGUGGAACUGCGAGUGUAGAGGUGAAAUUCGUAGAUAUUCGCAAGAACACCAGUGGCGAAGGCGGCUCACUGGCCCGUUACUGACGCUGAGGCACGAAAGCGUGGGGAGCAAACAGG